UGGGGAAUUUUGGACAAUGGGGGCAACCCUGAUCCAGCAAUGCCGCGUGAGUGAAGAAGGCCUUCGGGUUGUAAAGCUCUUUUGUCAGGGAAGAAACGGCUGAGGAUAAUACCUUCGGCUAAUGACGGUACCUGAAGAAUAAGCACCGGCUAACUACGUGCCAGCAGCCGCGGUAAUACGUAGGGUGCAAGCGUUAAUCGGAAUUACUGGGCGUAAAGCGUGCGCAGGCGGUUUUGUAAGUCUGUCGUGAAAUCCCCGGGCUCAACCUGGGAAUUGCGAUGGAGACUGCAAGGCUGGAGUCUGGCAGAGGGGGGUAGAAUUCCACGUGUAGCAGUGAAAUGCGUAGAGAUGUGGAGGAACACCGAUGGCGAAGGCAGCCCCCUGGGUCAAGACUGACGCUCAUGCACGAAAGCGUGGGGAGCAAACA
rnacentral:rRNA from 1 species